AAAAACAAUAAAAAAAAUCAAAAGCAAGAAAAACGAGAAGAAAUGAACUUGGCUUUUUUCUUUUUUU
rnacentral:ribozyme from 13 species